CUAACACAUGCAAGUCGAGCGGCAGCGAGUUUACACUGAAUUCUGGAAGCUUCUGGGUAAUAUAGAAGAUUUAUUCAAGAAUUUUGUGUAAAAUGUCGGCGAGCGGCGGACGGCUGAGUAACGCGUAGGAAUUUGCCCCAAAGUGAGGAAUAACUGCCCGAAAGGGUAGCUAAUGCCGCAUAUGGUCUUCGGAUUAAAGCCUUCGGGCGCUUUGGGAGAAGCCUGCGUUGGAUUAGGUAGUUGGUAGGGUAAUGGCCUACCAAGCCGACGAUCCAUAGCUGGUCUGAGAGGAUGAUCAGCCGGACUGGAACUGAGACACGGUCCAGACUCCUACGGGAGGCAGCAGUGAGGAAUCUUCCACAAUGGGCGAAAGCCUGAUGGAGCAACGCCGCGUGAAGGAUGAAGGCCUUCGGGUUGUAAACUUCUUUUAUGAGUGAAGAAUAUGACGGUAACUCAUGAAUAAGCACCGGCUAACUACGUGCCAGCAGCCGCGGUCAUACGUAGGGUGCAAGCAUUAUCCGGAGUGACUGGGCGUAAAGAGUUGCGUAGGCGGUUUAAUAAGUGAAUAGUGAAACCUGGUGGCUCAACCAUACAGACUAUUAUUCAAACUGUUAAACUCGAGAAUGGUAGAGGUAACUGGAAUUUCUAGUG
rnacentral:rRNA from 1 species